rnacentral:rRNA from 1 species
GAUGAACGCUGGCGGCGUGCCUAAUACAUGCAAGUCGAGCGAACAGAUGAGGAGCUUGCUCCUCUGACGUUAGCGGCGGACGGGUGAGUAACACGUGGAUAACCUACCUAUAAGACUGGGAUAACUUCGGGAAACCGGAGCUAAUACCGGAUAAUAUAUUGAACCGCAUGGUUCAAUAGUGAAAGACGGUUUUGCUGUCACUUAUAGAUGGUUUCGCGCCGCAUUAGCUAGUUGGUAAGGUAACGGCUUACCAAGGCAACGAUGCGUAGCCGACCUGAGAGGGUGAUCGGCCACACUGGAACUGAGACACGGUCCAGACUCCUACGGGAGGCAGCAGUAGGGAAUCUUCCGCAAUGGGCGAAAGCUUGACGGAGCAACGCCGCGUGAGUGAUGAAGGUCUUCGGAUCGUAAAACUCUGUUAUUAGGAAAGAACAAAUGUGUAAGUAACUAUGCACGUCUUGACGGUACCUAAUCAGAAAGCCACGGCUAACUACGUG